AUGCUCACUUCAGCAGCACAUAUACUAAAAUUGGAAUGAUACAAAGAAAAUUAGCAUGACCCUUGCUCAAAGAUGACACUGUAAUUUGUGAAGUGUUCCAUAUUUUA
ensembl:snRNA U6 U6 spliceosomal RNA